rnacentral:rRNA from 1 species
AUUGAACGCUGGCGGCAGGCUUAACACAUGCAAGUCGAGCGGGGUGAUGGUGCUUGCACUAUCACUUAGCGGCGGACGGGUGAGUAAUGCUUAGGAAUCCGCCUAUUAGUGGGGGACAACAUCUCGAAAGGGAUGCUAAUACCGCAUACGUCCUACGGGAGAAAGCAGGGGAUCACUUGUGACCUUGCGCUAAUAGAUGAGACUAAGUCGGAUUAGCUAGUUGGUGGGGUACAGGCCUACCAAGGCGACGAUCUGUGGCGGGGCUGAGAGGAUGAUCCGCCACACUGGGACUGAGACACGGCCCAGACUCCUACGGGAGGCAGCAGUGGGGAAUAUUGGACAAUGGGGGGAACCCUGAUCCAGCCAUGCCGCGUGUGUGAAGAAGGCCUUAUGGUUGUAAAGCACUUUAAGCGAGGAGGAGGCUCUUUUGGUUAAUACCCAAGAUGAGUGGACGUUACUCGCAGAAUAAGCACCGGCUAACUCUGUGCCAGCCGCCGCGGUAA